GUUUGAUCCUGGCUCAGGAUGAACGCUAGCGGCAGGCUUAACACAUGCAAGUCGAGGGGUAUAGGAAGCUUGCUUCCUAGAGACCGGCGCACGGGUGCGUAACGCGUAUGCAAUCUACCUUUUGCAGAGGGAUAGCCCAGAGAAAUUUGGAUUAAUACCUCAUAGUAUGUGAGAAUGGCAUCAUUUUCACAUUAAAGUCACAACGGCAAAAGAUGAGCAUGCGUCCCAUUAGCUUGUUGGUAAGGUAACGGCUUACCAAGGCAACGAUGGGUAGGGGUCCUGAGAGGGAGAUCCCCCACACUGGUACUGAGACACGGACCAGACUCCUACGGGAGGCAGCAGUGAGGAACAUUGGACAAUGGGCGCAAGCCUGAUCCAGCCAUGCCGCGUGCAGGAUGACGGUCCUAUGGAUUGUAAACUGCUUUUGUACGGGAAGAAACACUGGUUCGUGAACCAGCUUGACGGUACUGUAAGAAUAAGGAUCGGCUAACUCCGUGCCAGCAGCCGCGGUAAUACGGAGGAUCCAAGCGUUAUCCGGAAUCAUUGGGUUUAAAGGGUCCGUAGGCGGUUUAGUAAGUCAGUGGUGAAAGCCCAUCGCUCAACGGUGGAACGGCCAUUGAUACUGCUAGACUUGAAUUAUUAGGAAGUAACUAGAAUAUGUAGUGUAGCGGUGAAAUGCUUAGAGAUUACAUGGAAUACCAAUUGCGAAGGCAGGUUACUACUAAUGGAUUGACGCUGAUGGACGAAAGCGUGGGUAGCGAACAGGAUUAGAUACCCUGGUAGUCCACGCCGUAAACGAUGGAUACUAGCUGUUGGGCGCAAGUUCAGUGGCUAAGCGAAAGUGAUAAGUAUCCCACCUGGGGAGUACGUUCGCAAGAAUGAAACUCAAAGGAAUUGACGG
rnacentral:rRNA from 1 species